GCUCCUAGCGGAGCAGGGAACCCGAUGUGGGGCUUGAUCCCAGGACCCUGGGAUCACGCCCUGAGCCAAAGGCAGAUGCUUAACAACUGAGCCGCCCAGGCACCCCUUAGUAUUGGUUUAGAUUAGGGGAAAUUGUUAAGAAACGUUUUGAAAUAAGAUUUGCUGUGGGGGCACCUGGCUGGCUCAGUCUCUGAAGAGCGUGCGACUUUUGAUCUUGGGGUCGUAGGUGUGAGCCCCACAUUGAGUGCAGAGAUUACUUAAAAAAUAAAAAUCUUUUAAUAAGAUUUGCUGUGGGAAGAAUAGGAACUAGCAAAAUUGUCUCAAUCACCAGGAGAGUUAAGAAAAAACUUAUGCUUGUGCACAUGAGACCCACAUCUAAUAAGACUCAAAAGUGUGAAUGUGAGAGGGGAGGAAAAGAUAUACCAGGAAAACAGCGCAAAGAAAUCGAAGGUCAGCUGCAACCACCAAACAGAUUUUUGAGUCAAAAAGCACUAUGAGUAAUACAGAGUGUCAUCACAAAUGAAGACGAAAUCACCAGGGUGACAAAAGAAUUCUAAACUUGGAUGUACCUGACAACACGGUCUCUAAAGAAAUGAAGCCAAAGUGAGCCGGAUGAGAAGAAACUGACACAUUCUAGAAGCACUGUGACAUUUUAAUAUAUCUUUCUCAGCAAUUCAUCAAGCAGACAAAAAACUACAAAGCUAUGGACAAUCUGAUCAAGACCCCGACAAGCUUGAACUAACGAUUACGUCUGUGACUUGCAUUAUACCGGACAGCUCUGCUUGGGGCCACGAGAAUGUCUCAGCAAAUUGCAAGGUCAUCCUGCCCCACUCCCCGGGACAUGGGGACCUUAACCAGGAAGCUGAGUACAUUUACUUCUGAUUCAAGAUAGAGACAGCCAGCGAGAGAGGGAAC